rnacentral:tRNA from 1 species
UAGCUCAGUUGGUAAAGAAUCUUCCUGCAAUGAAGGAAACCCAGGUUCAAUUCCUGG